rnacentral:rRNA from 1 species
UACGAAGGGGGCUAGCGUUGCUCGGAAUCACUGGGCGUAAAGGGUGCGUAGGCGGGUCUUUAAGUCAGGGGUGAAAUCCUGGAGCUCAACUCCAGAACUGCCUUUGAUACUGAAGAUCUUGAGUGCGGGAGAGGUGAGUGGAACUGCGAGUGUAGAGGUGAAAUUCGUAGAUAUUCGCAAGAACACCAGUGGCGAAGGCGGCUCACUGGCCCGGUACUGACGCUGAGGUGCGAAAGCGUGGGGAGCAAACAGG